GCAGGUAUUUGAGGGAAGAGGAGUGGAAUGAGCCAGAAGAGAAGGGGUUAUUGUGUUGCAUACAGAUAUAUAGCACCAGUUAGAGAUACGCAUUAUUAGAGAGUGAUAGCAUCAGAGAAAGAAGGAAAGUGAUACAGAAAAUCAUUACAUCUUUUAAAAAGUAAGUUGGAUUUCUUAGUUUAGUUUUUGUUUAUUGCUGGUUUUGUAUCUAGUUUUAAGGUCUGCCUUUAUUGUACUCCCUUAUGUUCCCUCCCUUAUAGUUGCUUUUAACUGUUUCUCCUUGUUGUUUUUUUUUAAUCUUUUCAAAGUUAUGUAUGGUAUAAUCACCUUUUAAUUAUUAGCUUUUAUCCUUUACCUGUUUUAAGUCUCAUGUGUUCAGUUUAUCCAUAUGUUUUAUCUUAUGCUGGUCUGUGACUGAAAUAAAGUUUGAUACUGAUUCUCAGCUUUGAUUGUGUAAUGUGGUUUUGAGACAUCCUAGUGCAAAAAUAUAAUUAUAAUGAUGAUGAUCAUCAGGACCAGUUUAAAUCUUUCAGUUCAAAUGGCUUUUGUUUUCUUCCGUGGACAUUUGGAAGGUCUUUUGAUGAAAUAUUCUCAGUGUGUCCAACUGCUUACUGCACAAGUUCUUCAUGAUAGCAAAUUCAUGUCAAACCUAGUGGUCAGAUACCUCCAGUUGAGUGCAGCGACAUAGAGCAUAAAGACAUGACAACCCCAGUUUCUCAUCUUUUCUCCACUCUGCCCUAGGUUGCAAAAGCUUUCAGAAUCUCUUAACAAUGAUGAGUCUGCCAAACCUUGGAGGAUUUGUUUCUUUAAAACAAUGACAACCAAACACAACCCUCCUCCCCACAGAUGCAUUUUGUCAUGAAAAAGCAAGGGUAUUUGGUCUUAGGCUGUCUGGAUUUUGAAGUUGAAUUUGGAUGCCAUCAAUCUCUGGUGUCCGGCCAUAGUUAUCCAGUCCUGAGAAAAAGUCACUCAGAGUCUAAGAGGCAAAUUUAUUCAUUAUUUAUUCACAUGGUCUGGGAUUCAGCCCUAGAUAUUCAAAACAGGUUUGGAGCUGAUGACAAUUACAGUUCUCAAGAUCCCUCAUUUCUCUGAAUGCACAAUAUCACCAGGGCCUUUUUGUUAGCUGCGGCCUGGAUGUUUCUGUAGGAGCAGUGAGUGUUUUUUCUCUUGAAUGUUUACUGGGCUCAGUCUUGACAUAGGUGUUGAUAACUAAGAAGCUUCUUGUAUAUGGCAAGGUCCAGCAUUCUUCAACCUUGUUGCCUCCAGAUGUUUUGGAUCACACACCCCAUCAGCUCCGAUCACCAUGGCAAAUGUUCAGAUAUGAUGGGGGCUGUUGGCCAAAACAUCUGGAAGGGCCUGGGUUUUGUAAGGCUGUCCUAGUUCAAAGGAAGAGGAGAGGAGAGGAGAGUUUCAGACAGCUAGUGGGUUCUCCACCCUCAGGUUGCCUGAAUUCUGCCCUAGCCAGUGUGAAAGGUUGGGCUGUAAUUGCAACAUCUGUCAUACCCCAUAGCUGCCUGGCCAGAGUUAGGAUUGUUCUGUAACAGAACAUUUCUCUAAAUGUCUACUCAGAAGUAAGUUCCAUGGAGUUCAGAGGCUUCCUCUCAGGUUAGUGGCUACAGGAUUGAAGCUUGACUAAUCUUUUUAAAAAACCUCCUUAGGCAUCUGUCUUCUCCAUCCAUUUUAUAGACCUCUUUCUGCUGAUCGUAGAAACACCAUCAUGAUAGUGUAUUUGACUAUCAGCAGUUACCACUGUGGUUUCAGUGAAAUGUUGGAUGUUUACCGAACAUCCAAAAGGUUCUUUCAAUAAAUUUAUUUAUUAGCGGAAUUUUUACAUUUUAUAGGUUCAAUAAUUUUUUAUAGAGCUGACUUGGCUGAUCUGUUUACUUGUCGCUCUCUCGUAUGGCACAAUCACAUAUAAAAUGAAGCUCAUAAAGUACAUUAUGUAAAUAUAAACAAGAGCUUUCAGGGGAAAUUUGAAUAUGUAGGACUUUAAAAAGUUUUCUUUUCAUAAAUCUUUGUACGGAUGCAUCUAAGUUGAAAAUAGAUUAAGUUUGAUUUCAAUUAUUUGUCAAGCACUUUUCCAGAUGCAACCAAAUUAUUUCUUAGCGAGCACACAGGAUUUUUAUAUCUUAAGACUAUUUUCCAUUGAAAAUCUCAUGCUUACUAAUUACCGUAUUUUUCGCUCUAUAGGAUGCACUUUUCCCCCUCCAAAAAUUAAGGGAAAAUGUCUGUGUGUCCUAUGGAGCGAAUGCAGGCUCAUUGGCUUCAGGAAUAGCAACGCGAAGCCUCCGAAGCGCAGAGGGAACGCUCCCUCCGGAGGCUUCGCGUUGCUUUCGCUGAAGCCUGGAGAGUGAGAGGCGUCGGUGCGCACCAACCCCUCUCGCUCUCCAGGCUUCAGGGAUAGCCGCCUGAAGCCUUCAGAGCGCAGUGUGAGUUUCCUCUGCGCUCCGCAGGCUUCAGGUUCCUUUCGCUGAAGCCAGGAGAGUCUUGCUCUCCCGACUUCAGCAAAAGGAACCCGAAGCUUGCGGAGCGCAGCGGGAACUCGUGCUGCGCUCCGAUGGCCGCCUGAAGCGGGUUCAGCAAAAGGGGCUCCGUUUCUCCUGCUGCUUCGCUGAAGGGGCGCUGAGCAGAGAGGGGGAGAAAUUUUUUUUCUUGUUCUCCCCCUCUAAAACAAGGUGCGUCCUAUAGUCGUGUGCGUCCUAUAGAGCAAAAAAUACGGUAGCUUCAACUUCCUAGAGACUGGCUAUUUUAUCUAUUUUGGUGUUCUUUGUAUUGUAAGAAUCUGUAUUGUCACUAUGCUGACAAGCUAAGAAUUAACUGUCCUAGCAGGAAUGAAAGGUACUCAUUGCCUGGCAGGUUUGCUGAAGCCAUCAGCUGAAUUGUGGGAUGGGACAGAAGUCACCAUUUCUAGGGAAGAGGGGCAAACCUCCUGCAAGAUCUCUAUGCUGUGAAGGGGGUCAAAUGGACAUAUGGAAGGAAAUCUGCUUGUAUUCAUCACUUCUCUCCCUUUUCUCCAUUUCCCUUCAUCUAUUUAUAGAUUGGGAAACUUGGGGAUGGGACCUGCCAAACAUGUGUUGUUGUUUUUUUGUAAACUACCGUGUACCUAGAAGGCACCACAGAGUGGCAGGUGAUAAUUGUCAAAAGUAGCAUACCACUGAGUACGUCCCCUCUUCAAUUCUGGAGGUAGUCUGGGGAUCCCAGGUCAUCUUCCAAGUGGACGUGCUUUGUAGGAAAAUUCUGCAGGAAUGCAGAAAAAGAAGUUUCUCGAGUAUUUCAGCUUUCUUAAAAUGGAAAAAAAAAGUUUGUGGUCCUUAUGAAGGUGAAGCAAUCCUUGAUGAUGCAUGGGUGAUUUAUGCAGAAAUCUUAGAAGUCAGAGUUGAUGGGUUUGGGGAUGGGUAUGCAAUACUUUACAUACUCUCCUCAUGACCAGAGGAAGCAGAAGAACAGAGCUAUACAAAAUGAGGCUGGUAGGACAGAUCUGUGGAAUCACUAAAGCCAUCCAAAGCCCCUCAAACUCAUGCCAACUAGGGUGGAAGGUGAUGGAAGCACACCCACAUUGUUUUUGCUUCAUCAGCUCCAGGCUGGCUAUUAAUAUAAUAAAUGUAAUGUAAUGUAAUGUAAUGUAAUGUAAUGUAAUGUAAUGAUUGAUUUACAGAUUGAUUUACGGAAAAUUAGAAUAUUGUGGAAAAGUUAAUUUAUUUCAUUUCAGGCCAGCAAACUCGCCUGACCUGAACCCCAUAGAGAAGCUAUGGGGCAUUGCCAAGAGAAAGAUGAGAGACAUGAGACUGAGCAAUGCAGAAGAGCUGAAGGCUGCUAUUGAAGCAUCCUGGUCUUCCAUAACACCUCAGCAGUGCCACAGGCUGAUAGCAUCCAUGCCACACUGCAUUGAGGCAGUAAUUGAUGCAAAAGGGGCCCAAACCAAGUACUGAGUACAUAUGCAUGCUUCUACAUCUCAGAAGUCCAAUAUUGCUCUAUUUGCAAUCCUUAUUUUGCUGAUUUCAUUUAAUAUUCUAAUUUUCUGAGAUUGUUAAUUUGGGAUUUCAUCAGCUGUAUGCCAUAAUCAUUAAUUAUAACAAAUAAAGGCUUGACAUAUCUCGCUUUGCAUGUCAUGACUCUAUCUCAUAUAUUAGUUUCACCUUUUCAGUUGAAUUACUGAAAUAAAUGAACUUUUCCACAAUAUUCUAAUUUUCCGAGUUUCACCUAUAUAUAUUGCCCUUCAUCAAGAGAUCUCAGGACAGUUCACAAGACAACAAUCUGAGGUGUCUAAGCUUGCUCCUUUCAGGAAGAUAAUAAUAAUAAUAAUAAUAAUAAUAAUAAUAAUAAUAAUAAUUAUUAUUAUUAUUAUUAUUUCUGCAAGGACACAUAUUGUACAAGCUAAUGGCUCAUAAAGCACUAUCUUCCUGAUAAUAACAACAAUAAUAAUUUAUAUCCCACCUAUCUGACUGUUGUUUCCCCAGCCACUCUGGGCAACUCCCAACAGAAUAUUAAAAACACGAUAAAACACCAAACAUUAAAAACUUCCCUAAACAGAUGAAAAAGCUUUGGAUCCAUUAGAUCCAUGGCUGGCCCAACCUCUGCCCCAUAGAAUCAUAGAUCCGUAGUGUUGAAAUGGACCUCAAAGGUCAUCUAGUUGAAACCCUUGCAAGGCAGGAAUCCGCCCCCCCCACAACCAUCUCUGGGUGGGCUUGAACCAACAACCUUUUGGUUAACAGCCGGAUGCCCUGAUUCAUUGUAACACCCUCUUUCAGAGCCCCAAACUGGCUAUCGCAGGGAGAAAUUCUGUGGUGAUGCCCUUUUAAGCAGCUGAACCCAGUAGAGGGGUGUCUGUGUCUAAUCCUAAUCUCCCGUGGCGCUGAUCAGGGAGUUAGAAUUGUUCUCUGAAUUUUGCAAAAUCAUUAAAAUAUCAAACUGUACAAUCAACAGAGGGUGUACAAUACGGCAUGACUGGUAGAUCAGUCUGUCUGUCUAUCUAUCUAUCUAUCUGGCUGAGUUCACACAGACUUAAUGUUAUGUGGCUGGCUAGAUAGAUAGAUGUAUUUGUGGCAAUGUUGUAGUAGUCCUCAGCCAAAUUCUAUUUGGUUUCAUGUUCCUGCCUUAAGUAAGGUUUUUUCAUUUUGUUUUUUUCUAGAGGAGUUAACCACUUUCCUGCAGAGCAACAACAUGACAUGGACUGUGCAAUGCAUUCACAAGCAGAAAUUCAGUUACUGAGAGGGAGAGGAGAACUAAAUUGUGUACGGUUGUAAAUAAGAGGCCACUAGAAAAGGUGAACUCAGCAAUAUGUUUCCCUAGAAGAUAAGGAGAAUUAACUUGCAAUAAAUCCUAGUAAACUA